rnacentral:rRNA from 1 species
UACGGAGGGUGCAAACGUUGCUCGGAAUCAUUGGGCGUAAAGCGCACGUAGGCGGUCCAGCAAGUCGGGUGUGAAAGCCCUCGGCUUAACCGAGGAAGUGCAUUCGAAACUACUGGACUUGAAUACUGGAGAGGAUCGCGGAAUUCCCGGUGUAGAGGUGAAAUGCGUAGAUAUUGGGAAGAACACCGGUGGCGUAAGCGGCUUGCUGGGCUUUAACUGACACUGAGGAACGAAAGCUAGGGGAGCGAAUGGG